GUGAUACCUUUUAGCAUCUAAAACAGUGGGCCAUCAGAAGGUUUUAGUGUCAACCCACCAGAUAUCCUGAAGCCUGUAGUUCCUUCCUAGUUCAUCAUCUCUUUGUAGCCUGAUACUUAAGCCGUUGCAAACAUUUCUCCAACAUUCUUCUCAGAGCUGCCUUUACUUCUUUGUUUUUCAGGCUAUAGAUGAGGGGAUUCACUAGGGGAGUGACUGUGCCAUACUGUAUGGAGAAGAUGAGCUCCAGUGGCGAGCCUGAAGUUGGCAUGAGAUAACGAAGGAAAGCUGAUCCAUAGAAGAAGCUCACUGUGGUGAGGUGGGAGGAGCAGGUGGAGAAGGCCUUGCUUCUGCCUGUGGUGGAGCCGAUGCUCAGGAUGGUGGUUGCAACACGGGCAUAAGAGAAGAAGAUCAGGAAGAAUGUACCAAAGCCAUGAAAGAGUGUGGAAGCAAUCAGGACAGUGACAUUGCUGAAGACGUCAGAGCAGGACAAAGGAAAGAGAGAGGG
rnacentral:lncRNA from 1 species